AUUGAACGCUGGCGGCAAGCCUAACACAUGCAAGUCGAACGAGUGUCGGACGGGUGAGUAAUGUCUGGUAAACUGCCUGAUGGAGGGGGAUAACUACUGGAAACGGUAUCUCAUACCGCCUACUAUCGGUUUUGCCCAUAUGGGAUUCGCUCGUAGGUGGGGUAAAGGCUAACAUAGGCUACGAUACCUAGCUGGUCUGAGAGGCUGACGAGCAAAACUGGAACUGAGACACGGGCCAGACUCCUACGGGAGGAAGAAGUGGGAAAUAUUGCACAAUGGGCGAAAGCCUGAGGCGGCAAGGCCGCGGGUAUGAAGAAGGCCUCCGGGUUGUAAAGUACUUUCAGCGGGGAGGCGGUACCCGCAGAAGAAGCAACGGCUAACUCCGUGCCAGCAGCCGCGGUAAUUC
rnacentral:rRNA from 1 species